rnacentral:rRNA from 1 species
UGUCUACGGCAUAUCACCCUGAAUGCACCCAGUCUCAUCUAAUCUCAGAAGCUAAGCAGGUUCGGGCCUGGCUAGUACUUGAUUGGGAAACCACCUGGGAAUAAUGUGAAAUGUGUUUAU